rnacentral:lncRNA from 1 species
UAAGUUUAUACAAGGGAACUCAUCAAUGAUUGUGGUUGACAGGUGAACUUAAUAAUUGUGUAUAUUGGAUAAGUGUCUAAAUAUUUGGUAAGAUUUAUGUUUUAUGCCUACGAACUUACUAAGUUUCUAUAAGCUUACUUGAGUUUAUUCAAUGUCUCUUGUAGAUUGACGUGGAAGUAUACGGAGCAUAGUGGGCCAAAUUUGCCCGGCCCGUUACAAACAAAAAAUAAAUAAUAAUAAUAAUAAAUCUAAAUAUUAAUAGUCCAUCAAAGUCCAAUUACAUAGCCCAAAUUCAAAACCCAAUACGAGCCCAAAUUAACUCAGACCCAAAGUUACAUUGGCCUAAACGGCCCGAAACAUUUUAAGGACAGAAACCCUAGGGUUUUGUUCCCCUUUUGCGCCGCAGCCCCGAUCACUAGCAGCCUCCGUAGCGCCAGCUACCUCCGUCCGCUAGCGCAUAGCCUCUGUACGUGCUCUACGUUCUCCUCCGUACCUGUAUGAGGACAAGAACAGCACAGCAAAAACAACAGCAAAGAGUAAAACAAUAGAAAGGAAAUUCUUUGUAUUUUUAUUUAGAUUUUCGGCUAUAUAAAAGCCCUAUGUUCAUUGUAAAAGGGGACACAGAUUGAAACACAAAAAAGGGGCUAUCAAAAUCGAAAGGUGUUUUCCGAUUCGAAAUCUUUUGGAUGUUUUUUUAGUUUCAUUCUUCUGGGUUUUUACGCAUAUUAAAUAAAAUAAAAAUAAAAAUCAAUAGCAACCAAAAUCGGAUCCAAGGUUUAAAAGGUUGUCUUCUGUUCUUUUUCUGAAUUUUUCUUUCCUUUUUUUUUUUUGCAAUCGUGCUUCUUUUAUUCCUUCCUUUCGUGUAUUUUACAAACGAUUUUUUUAAAAUAAAAAAUGAAAGUAAAAGGGGGUUACCUGGAUUCGCUCCAUGGAUUGAUGUCAGGGGCGGAGGUGCCGAAGCACCGAUGAUCCUCCUAGGUGGCUCCCCAAAGCAGGGUCAAAACCCUAGCAGAGGAAUGGGAGCAUUUUUCUUUUUAGAAACAACUGAAUGACCAAAUGAGGUUUAAUUAAUUUUUUAGAUUUGUACUGUUUAUGAAACGACACCGUUUGGUGUUAGGGGGCCUUAACGUCUAAACGACGUCGCUUUGAGCCCCUAGAUCCGCGCGUUGACCCGACCCGGGGACGAUCCACGCGUUUUCCAUUAACGGGAAAUUUUCAUAACUGGUCCCUCCAGUUUGCAUUAACAUUUGAUUCAGCAUCAGUCAAUUCUUUCUAUUAUUAUUUUAAUUUUGCCCUGGAAUUUGCGCGUUGUUUUAAUUUGACCCGCGCCUCAAUGCUGCGUUUCGGGGCCUGGCAUAUUGCCAGUUUUGAUCCCUGAGCAUUGGAGUGCAUUGUGCUUUAGUCCUUCCUUUAAUUUCAGCAGCUUGUUUUUUUUAUUAAAUAUCCUUUUAGUUUAAUUCUAUUUUAAUUGAGUCCUUUUAAUUGGCAUAAUUCAUUUUUAUUUAUUAUAUUAUAUUUAUUUUAUUUCUGUUACUAUUAUUUUAUAUAUAUUUAUUACCAUUUAUUUAUUAUUAUUAGUAACAUAUUGUUAUUUUUAUUAUUUUAUUAUUUUUAUUUUUAUUAUUAUCAUGGUACUAUAUUAACUAGUUUUGUACUGUUAUUACUACUAUUAUUAUAUUUUCAUUCUAUUUAUUUAUUUAUCUAAAAACCUUAAAUACCUUUAUUUUAUUUUAUCAUUUAUUUAUAUCUUCUUAUAUAAUAUUAUUUUUUCCCUUUUUAUAUUAUUAUUAAUAUCAUCAUUACUAUUAAUAUUUUUGUUUUUAAGUUUUUUUUUACCAUGCUUAUUUAUUUCUUUGUUUAAUAUUAGUCCUUUUCCGUUUCAAGUUUUAGUCUUUUCCUCAAUUAGUGUGAAAUACAUUAUCUCCUAAAAUUUUUUCGAUUAAAUAAUAUUUUAACAAAGGAUUGUAUUUUUAAAAUUUCUUUAAAUUUUUAAUUUUCGACACUAAGACACUAAUUAAUCAAUUAGGUACCAAUUUUGGGCAUUAUGAGGGUGCUACUCCUUCCUCGUGCGUAACCUACUCCCGAACCAAUUUUCUGAAUUUCGUAGACCAAAAUCGUUUUUAAUAAAUCAAAUCGUUUAUUAAAAAUAACCACUUUUCGAGGUGACCCGAUCACACCUCAUCAAAAAAGGAUUGGUGACGACUCCAAUUUUCAUUUUAAAAAGUCGAUUCCUCCUUUUCAAAAAAAUGCUUUCAACAAACCUUAUUAAACUCCAUCUAUUUUAUAUUGAUUAGAAUAAGGUAUUUCAAUCUUAUUAGGAUAUGGCUUUACAAGCCUAUAAAUAGACAUAGUCUAUUCCUCUUGUAUUUAUUCGAAUUCGACAUAGUGAAUUUUCUUUUCCUCUGCCCGUGAUUUUUUCCCGAAUGGGUUUUCAUGUAAAAUCUGUGUAUUCUUUAUUUUAUUUUAUUUUCACAUGAUUAAAAAAAUAAUAUAAAUUAUUUUAUAUCUAAAUUUAAUUAUAAUAUUAAUAAUAAUAUUAAUUUAUAUAAAUAUUAAUAUAAAAAAUUUUAAGUUUUAUCAUUAUAAACAUUAAAACAGGCCAAGUCAGGCCAGCCCAGGAAUUCCUAAUUGGAACAACCCAACAAGUUUUAAGCAAAUAAAUUAUUAAAAAAUAAAACAUUAAAAUAGUUUUAAAAAUUAUAAAAAUCAGUUCAACUAUCGGUUCAAUAGAUUUUUAGCACAAUUCAACUAAUUUUUACCGGUUUGUGGGUCAAUCAAUAUUUUACAUCUCACCAAACCAAUACCCUAGCCAAUUUUAUUGGUCGAUAUGGUCCGAUUUAGACAACAUUGAAAUUUAGAAUAUUUUAUUUUUUGAAUUUUGAAUAGUUUUUAGUUUUCAUAAGUUUAGACUUUUUAAAAUAUAUUCUUUUUAUUAUUUAUGUUUUUAUUUAAAAUAUAAAAAAAAUAGUUUUUAAAAUUUCUUGUAAGGAUCAAAUUGAAAAAAAUAAACAUUGAAGGCUUAAAAAAAGUUUUUAAUAUCCCAAAAUGAAAGUAUAUUUUAAAAGGGGAACGAAACGUUUGAGAUAUUUAAACGUUAAUUUUGUAAAGAGAUUAAAAAGACAUAGAGAGUCAAAAAGAUUUAAAGUUGAGUGGAUUAAUUAAUAUUUUGUGUUUUCUUUGAAAGAAUAAUUUGAGUAUAAGAUGUGAAGAAAUUAAAAUAGAAAAGGUUCUCACCUAAUUAUCCCAAUACUUCAGCAUUAAUAUUAAGAUUAAAAUUAAAAUCACACUAAUAACAAAAAUUAAGCUAUAAAUUUGAUAGUUUUGAAAUUGCAUCAACUCUUUCUGCUCCCCACUAAUUACGCCCAUAAAUGAAUCUUCCAUAUAAGUAGAUUUGAUAUUUAACAAUUUAAUUUCAUUAUAGUUCAACAACACCAAUUAAAUCUGCUUCCAAAUAAUAAAAUCAAUUUUUAUAUGUUUGGUGUCCAUCAAUUUUAAUAAAAUUAAAUAAAACUUAAGACAGCUAAAGCUUUAAAGUUUAGUGGAUAAAUUAAUAUUUUCUUUUUCUUUUAGAAAAAAAAAAAAAAAAAAAAAAAAAAGACCAUUCAAGUCAACUUAAAAAACAAUAGGCUGACCAAACUUAAUUAUCAGAAUUACUUACAACUUGUUUGCAAUUUACAAAUUAUAAUACAAGCAGAUUCGUCUACAGUUAAUUUUUGUGUCAAAGAUAAACUACUCUUUUUGGACUCAGCUGAAUCAAAGGCCGAGGAAUCCCUGCAAGUAAAAACUUCACUCCUUUAAAUUUUCUAUAACCUGGCCUACCAAAACUUCAGUCAUUCUGAAUUCUUGUCUUAUUUAUAAAGUUCACAGAUCCCCUUUCCUUCUUCUUCAAUUCUCUCUUUUCCAUCUUCUUCACAGACUCAGAUAAUAGAGUCAUUUGCAAGGAGCAGUGUGACGAUGGGAAGAGGGCUCAAAGGCAGUGAACUGUUGCCUUUCACGGUACAGUUCCUGAGAGGAAGAUGGUUUGCACUUUUUGCAUCCUUUCUAAUCAUGGCUGGAGCUGGUGCCACAUAUCUAUUUGGAACCUACUCCAAAGAGAUCAAAGCUGCACUGGAUUAUGAUCAGACAACGCUCAAUCUCUUGGGCUUCUCAAAGGAUCUUGGUGCUAACGUUGGGGUUUUUUCCGGUCUUAUUGCUGAGGUAACUCCCACUUGGUUUGUUCUUCUAGUUGGUGCUGCAUUAAACUUCGGAGGGUAUUUCAUGAUAUGGUUAGCUGUGACUGGUAGAAUAGCCAAGCCAAAGGUUUGGCAAAUGUGCAUUUACAUCUGCAUAGGAGCUAAUUCUCAGAAUUUUGCCAACACUGGAGCUCUUGUCACCAGUGUCAAGAACUUCCCUGAAAGCAGGGGUUCAAUGUUAGGCCUGUUGAAGGGCUAUACAGGGCUCAGUGGAGCUGUAAUGACACAAAUUUACUUAGCUGUAUAUGGAAAUGAUUCCAAAUCUCUUAUUCUUCUUAUCGGAUGGCUUCCUGCUGCAAUUUCCGUAAUAUUUGUAUAUACAAUUCGGACAAUGAAGCCUGUUAGACACCCGAAUGAAAUUAGAGUGUUUUACCAGUUCCUUAGCGCCUCCAUUUUGCUAGCAGUUUUUCUCAUGCUAAUAACUUUGACAGAGAAACUAGUUACUUUCUCGAAAGCAGCAUAUGCUGGGGCUGCCACAGUGGUUUGUUUCCUUGUCUUUUCCCCUCUCUUUAUUUCCGUUAGAGAAGAAUUGCUCAUUUGGAACAUGCAGAAACACCCAAUUGGUUCUCCAAUGGAGAUAACAGUAGACAAGUCAACCCCUGAAAUAGUUGAAUCCAAACAAGUGGUUUCCAUGCCUGGUUCUCCAAAACAGGGUGAUGAAAAGGUAGAAAAGUCUUGUUUCUUAACCAUUUGUGACAGGCCUGAGAGAGGAGAAGACUACACAAUUUUGCAAGCACUGACAAGCCUUGACAUGUGGGUUCUGUUUCUUGCAACAUUCUGUGGACUUGGAGCAAGCUUAACAGCAGUAGACAACUUGGGGCAGAUUGGUGAAUCCCUUGGCUACCCCAACAAGACAGUUACUUCCUUUGUGUCCCUUGUUAGCAUCUGGAAUUUCUUCGGAAGGGUGUUUUCUGGAUUUGUCUCUGAAACACUAAUUGUAAAAUACAAGGUUCCACGGCCACUCAUGAUGACCUUGGUCCUUCUACUUGCCUGCAUUGGCUACCUCCUGGUUGCGUUUCCAAUGCCAGGUUCACUCUAUGUAGCAUCCAUCAUAAUUGGAUUCUCAUUUGGUGCACAACUGCCGCUGAUUUUCGCCAUCAUUUCCGAGCUUUUCGGCCUUAAGUACUACUCCACAUUGUUCAAUUGUGGACAGUUGGCUAGUCCUCUCGGCUCGUACAUAUUUAACGUGAAGCUUACUGGGUUUCUAUACGAUCGAGAGGCAAUGAAGGAUCUUGCAAAGAAAGGUCUAACACGAUCCUCAGUGAAAGCAUUGACCUGCAUUGGCAGUCACUGUUACAGGCUACCGUUUAUAAUCUUGACUUUUGUUACCUUCUUUGGAGCCUUGACGUCUCUAAUUUUGGUGAUAAGAACCCGAAAUUACUAUAGAAGCGAUAUAUACAAGAAGUUUAGAGAAAAUGCUGAGAGUUUAUGAGACAACAAAAUGAUCAUUUGGGAUUAGCAUUGAUAAAAUAACAGUAUUGUUUCUACCAUAUUAUCGCAUGUUGUUAUCUGUAUACUAUUUUUUAUGUAUUAUUUACUGCUUCCUACCUCAUAAUUGAAAGAUACUUACACAAUAUCCAAAUUUGUCGAUGAGCUUCAGAAAAGCAUACGAUAGUGCUCACGGGGAAGUGAUUUGCCCACACUACUUUGUUGGGAUUACCACCCUCUCUCCCCAAAUCAAAUGUCUCUUUUCUGUCGUUUUGUGCUAGAUCCUGUGAUUCACGGGUGGGCAAGUCACAACUUGUGAUCUCCAAAUCAUUUGUUUAUGGGAUUUAGGAGCUGUAAUUUCAGGACAGUUUUCCUUGAAUUCGGCCCAAGUUGUAGGACACCCACUUCACGUGGGGUGAUUUUCAUACGUUGAUUGGUCAGCCAAAGCCAAUCCCCAAACGUUAGCGCCUCUUGCUCCAUUUCCCACUACCCUUUUCCACCCACAUACAUUCACACUAAUUUAUAUAUAAUGGCUCCUACCAUAUGUAUUAUAUCUCAAUCCGGGAAAGAAAAAUAUAUGUUUGAGUGUAUUCAAAUUUAUAUUCAAUUAAAUUAAAUUUUAAUUGAUUUGUUAAUAAUAAUUAAUAAAUUAAUUUUUUUCUGAAAAAUGAAUAUUGCAUACUAAAACUAUAUAAUUUUUUUAUGAUAAUAUCGAACUUUUUAAAAAAUAUUUUUUAAAUAGAUGUCUCCAUUGAUAUUCAUUUAACAAUUUAAUCUGCAUUUAUAUUAAAAUAAACAACAAUAACUCAAAAAAGAACUUAUUGCUUGAAAAAUUGAGAAAGAGAACUCACGAAAGUGGUGUGGUUUUUUGGAGUUGGUGAGUGGCCAUUGUUUCAAUUUUUUAAAUUGGAAUAAUUCCAAACUUUAUCCUCCUGUUUUACAAAAUCAAGAAGUUGAAAUUUUUAUCAAAAUAAUAUAAAAUAGAAAAGUUAUUUACUAAAAUAAUAUGGGUGACGGAUUAUUUAUGAAUUGGUAUGAGUUUAAAAGAAAUUUUAAAUUUACAUUUAAAAAAAUUGAUGUAUAGUAAAAAUUGUGAUAAUUCUACAUUUAAAAUAAGUAUAACCAAUCAGAAAUUGAAGUUAUAAGAAUCACAAAUUUAAAUUUAAUCAUAAUUUAAUUUAAUAUUAUUAGUUAAAAAUUAUUUGUUCAUUUUUAAAUAGAUUUAUUGUUUAAAUAGAGAUCUAACCUUAAAAUAUAGGGAAAAAGCUAAAUACAAAUAUAUUGAUAAUUAUUAGUUAAAAAUUUUGACCUAAAAAAGAUGUGCUAAUUUUAUUGUAUAAAUCCUCAUGGGUUAGGUCGGGUCAAGCUUAAACAUAAUAUUAAUAAAUUUAUGCUUAUUCAAACCCAACCUAAUUCAGAAUAUCGGCUUAAAUUUAAAAAUAAACUAGGUUUGGGCUUUGGUCAAAGCUCGAGCCCUAACUGUAAUAGGCCAAUUUUGGCCUGGGCCCGGAAAAAAUAGUAAUCAAAUAAAUAAAGCCAAAGGAUGCAAUCGGUCAAAAACAAGCCAAAAAGGGCCAAAUUGAAAGACAAUCAUUAAAUUGGGGCCAAAUAAAAAAGAUGAAGAAAGCCAAGGAGUUAUCAAAUUUUGUUGACUUGGUAAAAAGCCAAAAAUAAGAAGAUAUUAUUUUAUUUUUAUUUUAUUUUAAUUUAUUUAAUUAGUUAGGCUAUUUUUAGUAACCCCAUGUAUAUAAAUAGGGAUAUGUUGUUUUUUGAAAGGGGGAAUUACUUUGGUAUUCUUACCUCAAUUUGGAAUUGAAUUAUUCUCUCUUUUUCUAUUUCCAUUGGAAUUGAAUUAUUUUUUUUCUCUUUCAAUUACGUGGGAAUUUUGUCUAUUUCAUUUCAAUUUCUUUGUUUUUCCUAAAUUCGUCCAAUUGCUUUUAGCACUUCCAUUUUUUUAUUGUUUUGCAAUUAAGUUUUCAUUAUUUUUUGGCCCUAAAAUUUUUUUUGAUUGCAUUUUGGUCCUCUUUGAAGCUGUGCGUUUUGGAGGGUGAAGAUUAUUUCCCUUUUGGUCCUUCCUUGUUAUUCGCAUGUUCAAAUUGGUCCAUUUCCUUUUAUUUAUUUUUUAUUUGCCCCAAAAUUUUGCUUUAAGGUUCGAUUUAACCUUCUUCUUUUUUUUUGCUAUUUUAUUAUCAAAUUAACUAAUUUGAUAUAUUAUUGCUAUUAUUAUUAUGUUUCUAUUUAUAUUUAUUUUGCUAUUCUAAUACUAUUGUUAUUUAUCUAAUUUUUAUUUAUCUAUUUAUAUUUCUACUAUUAUUCUAUUUCUAUUUAUUAUAUUUCUAUUUCUAUUUAUAUACUAAUAUUAUUUUCAUUAUUAUUUUUAUUAUAUAUGUUUUUUUACUCUUGUUAUUAACAUUCUAUUUAUUUAUUUAUUUUUUACAUUUUUUGUUAUUAUCUAUUUUAACUUUUUAUAUAACGCUCAUUUCAAAUUUUUAUACAUUAUUUACUUUAAUAUUUUCAUAUAUUAUGUAUUUUAAACUUUUUUUUAAACAUUAUAUAUUUUGAAUUGUUUAUAUAUUAUUUUUAAAGAGUUUUAUAUAUUAUUUUAUCUUGAAUGGAUACUAAUCUUUUUUUAAAUUAUUUUAUAUACUUUAGAUCGUUUUUAUAACAUCCAUUUUAAAUCCUUUUUAUGAAUUAUUUGCUUAGAAUUAUUUUAUAUUUUAUUUUAGAUUUUCUUACUUUGUAUUUAUUUGUUAUUUGUGAUUCAUUAUUAUAACAUUUUGUUUAUGAAUUAUUACUUUGUGUUGUACAUUAUUAUUCUAUCGUAUUUUAUUCGCUUAAAAGGUCGUGUUUUAAUAUCAUUUAAGGUUUAAAAUCAUUUUAUUCAAAAGUUUUCAAAAUAAGGCAAUACUCGGUAUGUGGCAUCUUCGAGAAGAUUGUGCCCUAACUUACUGGAUUCCAAUUUUCCUCGUUGAAUCUAUGUAAUCGAGUACCCUUUUUCAAUCAAAACGUAUAAGUUUCAAAUAAAAGCUUAUUCUCAAGAAUUCGAGGCGUUGUGCCCUAACUCACUGGAUAUGACAUUUUGUAUCUCGAGAUAAGGAUUUUUAAAAAAUAAAGGCAAUAUUCUAUGUUUGGAAUUUUGAGAAAUCGUGCCCUAACUUAUUGGGUUUCGAUUUUUCAUUUGAUCCAAAUAAUUGAAUAUUCUUUUUAAACUUCACCGCAUGAGUUUUAAAAAUCAAAAGAUAAGCUCAAUUUUGAAAAUGUGAAAUGUCGUAUCCUAACUCACUAGGUAUGACAUUUUAUUUCUUCGAAAUAAGAGGGUCUUAGCAUCCAAUUUAAUUUAUUAAAGUGUUCUUUUUAAAUAAAAGGAUCGUAUUCUAAAAUAUAUUCAAAUUUUCGACAUUAAGACAUUAAUUAAUCAAUUAGGUACCAAUUUUGGGCGUUACGAGGGUGAUAACCCUUCCUCGUGCGUAACCGACUCCCAAACUCUUUUUCUCGAAUUUCGUAGACCCAAAAUCAUUAUUUUAAUAAAUCAAAAUGUUUUAUUAAAAUGAUCAAUCUCAAGGUGAUCUGAUCACACCUCGAAAAAAGAUCGGUGGCGACUCCAUUUUUGUUUUUAAGUCAACUCCCGUUUUUCAAAUUAAAAAUGGUUUUGACACUAACCAUAUUUUAAAUGGGCUUAAUUUUUUUACCCAAUAUUUAGAUUAAGGCAUAAUAUUAAUAGAGUUAAUUAGGGGUGAGCGUUCGAUCGAAUCGAAUUGAAUCGAAUGAAAAAAUUUCGAGUUAAUCGAGUUGACGAAUCAUAUUUUAUUAUCCUAAUUUGAUUUGAAAUUUUCUCGAAUCGAGUCGAGUGAGAUGGAAUUCGAAUCGAAUCAAAUCGAAUAUAUUUGUUUGAGUUAAAUUUUAAAAAAAUAAUUUUGGGUCCUUGUAACCACUGUCACCCAUCGUAAUAAAAUUUGUCCACCUUAAUCAAAAUUUUUAUUAACUUUCAUCACCUCAUAAUUUAUUUAUUAAUCUUUUAUAUACGGGUUAGCUUAUUUGCUUGCUUAGUUUUUUCAAUUAUCUUUAGAUUCUUGUCUUUAUGUAUUUUGGAAUUAAAAAAUAUAUUAAAUGUAAAAAUGUGAUUUUUUAAUAAAAGUUAUUUAAAAGAUAAAAUGUGAAAUUGAUACCAAUAUAAAAUUUUAACAUGAAUAUUUAAUGGCAUAAUUAAUAAUUCAAUUUUAAUAUAAAUAUUCAAUAUGACUAAACAAUUCAAUAAUAUAAAUAAUAUAAAAUGUGAAAAUUAAUUUAAUAAUAUAAAUAGUAGAUAUAAAUAAAAUUAUUACUAUUUGUGUUUAGUGAUUUUUUUGGAUAAUUUUGAUUUUUUAUUUGAAAGUAAAAGGUGAGAAGUAAAAAUUUAGGGGGAAAAUAAAAAGUUUUGGGGGAAAAUAGUAGAUAAAAGUAAACAUUAUUACUUGCCAAAACUGGAAAACUACACUCAUUUGCUGCUACUAGAAUUAGAAUAAUUUCUCAAAAAUGGACUGUUAUGUAUCCAUUUCAUCAUCUUUGAUCCCUAGAAUUUUAGAUGAUUUGCUUGUAUUUACUAGAAUAUUGUAGAGUGUGUCUCGCAUUUUCCUCGCAAUGUUGUGAAGACAAGACUGGUGAUGCUGUAACGACACAAAGACAUUCGAAACAGAGAUAAAAUAGAGAUGACGUCUCGACGGUGCAAUCUAUGACGUUGUGAUGAUGCGACGGUUUCCUAAAUCAAAUCAGUUGCGUAAUUAAACUUUUAGCAGGUUAUUUUUCCCUAUUAAACCCUAAGUAUUCCAAAGAUAUUUUAAUCAGAUCAGAACUCUAAUCUUAGCUUAUAAAAAAGCUUUAGUAAUGCAAGAAAAAUAAUCAUCAUAACAUCAAGAGGUUUAGUGAACUUUAAUGGAAUUUUGUGUUUUUAACCAGAUAACUUUGUAAUUAAUAGGGGUUAGGGUUUAUUUCGAAUAUUUUUCAUCUAGUACUCUUUAUUUAUUUGCUCAUUAAUAAAGUUUCUUUUGUUCGUGAUUUUUUAUCCUUUUGACUGGAGAGUUUUUCCAAUCAAAAUAAUACUAAUUAUAGGCAUCAUGGUUCUAGUAGUACUACAAAUAAUAAUAAGCUAUUGUAAUGGAGCCUUAAUUUUAAACUAAAUCUAAAAGAUUCAAAAAGAAGAUAGAAGAUGGAGAUGUAAUUUGUAAAUAUAAUAUUAAAUAUGAUAAUUUAUUUUUUAAUUUAAUAUUAAAUUAAUAUUUUUUUUUCAUUUCAAUUAAAAAUAACAUGCAUGAUAAUAGAAUUGUUAAGAUUUUUUUAAAGGGACUAAUAAAUUGGGAUAAUUUAUGUAAUGAAUAAUAAUUUAGAUAUCACUUUUAAUCAAAAAAAUUAAAAUACCUAAAUAGGAAAAAUAUUAUAAUUUGAAAACUAAUUUUUCGUUUAACCCAAAACUUAAAUACAAAAUAGAUAAUAAUUAACACGAAUGAUGCGAAUAGUAAUUAUAAAAAAUCAUACCAACAACAUUAAUUAAACAUUAAUGCUUAAUAACAACACCGAGAAAAUCAUAUAUCAUAAUUUUUAUUUAUAAUGAAAAAAUAUAUAUUUAUGAAAGAAGUCAAAUACUACAAUUAAAUUUAAAAUAAGUGAAAUCAAAGAAAUAAAUAUAUAUAUUUUUCUAUAAAAAAUUAAGUAAACCAAAAAAUCAAAUAAAUAUAUAAUUUUAAAUUAAAAAAAAUAACGAAACCCCUUUCUAAAAUGAAUCAAAGCCUGGAGGAACUAAUAUGGUAAUUUAAAAGGUGGAAUUUCAAAAUUUUAAAGAAAUGUAAGAAUAGGACUAAAAUUGCAAUUUCAAAAUGUAAAAAUGAAUAAACUAGUCGAUAAUUGCAAGAAAACUUGAGUACUGCUAAGAAAAAUAUCAAUUGCUUGUAGAACUACGAAAGAACAAAGAUAAACAACUAUCUUUCAGCCACAGUUCAAUUUCCCUAUAUCUAUGGGGUCUUGUCCCGAGAGAUAAUCAACUAUCUUUCAAUCUUGUACAACAAGUAGUUUAAGUCCUACCACUCACCAAUUUAACAACCUUAUUAGUGUACCUAGAUCUCUCUCUUUUAAGUUUUCCUCUACAAAACUUAGUUUGUAAAUCAAGUGAACAAACAUGUUUACAUACAAAGAUGGAAUUCCUAAAGAACAUAUUUAGUGCCAAAGCUCUUUGUAUAACACUUAUACAAGUCUCGAGAUAUAUAUGCUUUUCGACUUACUAACAUUCUACAUCAAUUACAAUCAAUCUUCUCAUUAAAUUAACAAAAUGAACAAGUGAUGUUUUAAUAAAAUUCAAAUUAUUAUGAAAAUAUUUAAGAUAAGUCGAUUUGACCUUAAGUUGAGAGAUCCAAUUGUAUAAUUAAUGUAAAUCUAAUCUUUUAAGAAACGAUGCACCAAAUGAAUCAACCUUCAAAAAUGAAUUACCAAUCAUUCCAACAAAUAAAUAAACAAAAACCUAAUGGUUUUGAUUAAAAACGUGGUCAAUUCAAAUAAAGCAAGUUUACCUAACUACCACAGCCUCAAUACAAAACAACCUUUUAAAAAGUUAAAAAUUGUAAAGGAGAUUGUGUUGCAAACAUUCCCUCCACUUCUCCUUUUAAAUGCCAAAAAUUCAUCCCAUUAAUUUCUGUCAAAAUUCUCUUAAAAAGUGAAAAUUUAUCUAAAAAUAUUUUUCUUUUCCCUCCAUUCUUUUUUGUUUUACUGUUAGACUUUUUGAAGUCCAACACCGAAAACUUCAUAAUUGGACUGAAAACUCAUAACAUUUUCAUUUUUUUUUCAAAAUUCUCUAUCUAACAAGACAUUAGAAUUUGAUUCAAUAUUAAGGUAAUUUUUGGGCAGUGUCGAGAACUAGUACCAAUUGGUAUCUAUCAUUAUUUGCUCGGAAAAUUUGUCAAGUUUCAAUUGAUAAAUUUUAACAACAAAAAUCUUUGGGUUUUGAUUGUAUCUGAUAAGGACAGUCAAUUCAUUUUUGAUAAUCAAACUACACGUAACAUAUCUUGGAGAUUAAUUUGGAUUUAGGCCAAUGUAAUUGACCUUCAAAGUUUGACGAAUUAGAUUGAAUUGGGCAAAAUUUAGAAGAAUAUCCUGGAGAUUCAAGGCUUACCCUACGCUAAUUGAAGAUAUUAUUUAUGUUUAUUGUACAUGUUUCAUAGGAAGAUUGAUUGCAAUUGAUAUAGUAUGUUAGCAAGUCUCAAUUUCUUGUAAAUUGAGAAGACUUGUAUAGGUGAUGUACUCGACAGAGAGCACUUAUUCUUAUUCAAUGAGGAACGUUUCUUUUGAGUGCAUUGAGUAAAAAAUCAAGUGUGUUACUUGACUAGUGUCCUAAAUUUUCAAGAGAGAAACUUGAGGAUAAUUGUCUAGAUCUUAGGAACAAAAGUGAGGAAUUUAAUUUGGUGAGGAACAAAAGUGAGGAAUUAUCUCUCUAGGCAAGACGUUACCAACAUAGAGAAAUCGAACUGCAUAAACAUAUCAAGUGUUUAUUGUUUCUCUACCUUGUUCAUACUCAGUAUCAGAAACACUUGGCACUAGUCGCUAGCCCUGCUUGAUUUCUGCUUGCAGAUAUUGAUUUGAAACUAACAAAUACCUAAUAGGUCUUUUGAUUAGAAGCCGAAGGGACGGAGAUUGAAAACAAAAGUUGAGCUAACAAAUCUAACGCAUACAAAAUAGUUUUAGUUGUAUCAAUACACUUGGUAACUUGCUAAUUACACCACCUAAAACUAAUUUAAGUGUUCAUCAUAUUCUUGUCACGUUAGAUUUUGAAUCACUGCAUGAUUUUGUAAUAAAAAUGAAACGCUAAUUUGGUGUCAUGUUAUAUAUCCAUUGUUGUUUGUCGACCUUUAACAUAUAUGAAAGGACAGGAUUGCUCAUUAUUUAUGGUUCAAUAAUUAUUGCUUUUGCGGCCAAACGUCUAAUCAGAAUGAAAUGCGUGCAUUUCAUGGCUACUGACAUUUGAAAUUUACACUGUGAGAAUCCUGUAAAGAUGGAAUUUUUAUUUAGACAGCUUAUUGCAAACAACUGGUUUUGUUCUAUUUAACUGCUGAAUAUUGUAAUAGAAGAAGACAAAAAGCAUGGAAGAAAAGAAAAUCUUUGCAUUCUCACAAGCUUUAGAUUUUGCUCCUGUCUGGGCCAGCUGGGAACCAUGGUAACGCCAGUUGAGGGAAGGGAGAGGACCCCAAUAUAUGAGAUCUUUAUACUCAUUUGUUUGUUUCCCAGUGAAUUGGAUUUGCCAUUUGAUUUUAAAACUUUGAUGUUGAUUUGCUCUUGCACGUGUGUACUUAAAGCAUUUCAUUAAUUAUUUAUACAUAAAAAUAUUUAUUCUCGAAUUCAAUAAUUAUUAGCAAAUUAAUUACAUGGAUUUUUAAUCUCUCGGAAUGAGUUACAAUGAUAGUUUUUCAAUAUAAGAUUUUAGACUUUUCAACCCUUAAAUAAAAAGAUAAUGUGUUUAAUCGCACUCGAACCCACGUCCACUUGUCAAUACCAAUUAAGUUAAGACUCUAUCGACUAAAAGGUUGUUAAUGUACCUCCUAUGAUACAUCAUCUCUAUAUAAAAUAAUAUAUAAUACACAUGAUUAAAGUAUCAAAUAUAAAUCCAAUUAUUAUUCUUCUUCUUUUUUUGUAACCAGCCGUUAAAUUACUAAUCAGAGAUAACUUGGUAACUUUUUAAAUUGGCAUAAGAGUAAUUUUAACCUUCAUAAUUUACACAUUGUAUCAAUUUAGUAUUGAUUCUAAAAAUUUUAACCCUAAACAUUUACAUAUCAUGUAAUUUGGCCUUUUCUAGAGUUUCACUUUUACUUGUGCCACUUUAACCUAAAAAGCUAAAAAGGAUAUCAGCUAAUUAUAUAUAUAUAUAGAAAUUCCAAAAAAUUCAAGAUAAUAAUUUUCAUCUUUUCUCAUUUUUUUAAAAUUAACCUUCAAUAACAUGAAGAAAAAUAAAACUAUAAAAAAGACCAAAUUACACAAUGUUGAGGAUUAAUUUUUUUAGAAUCAAGACUAAAUUGACAAAAUAUAUACAUUUUGAGGAUUAAAAUUACUAUUAAGUGACCAAAUUUUUUUUUUACUUAUAAUUGAAUAACUAGCAAUGUAGUUUACAAUUAAUUAAUUUUAAGUAUGAUAUCUAAAAGGGAUCUCCCAUCCAUGGUUGGUGGCUUAUUAGCCCACAUAGAAAUAGUGGGCUUUGGAUUUUUCUUUGUCCAUUUCUCUAUGGAAGAAUAAGUUUGACAUUUGGAAAGAAAUCAUCCCAUUAUGAACUAUGAAUGGAAGUUGAACCAACCCCAUAUCCCAAAUGCAAUUAGUGAACGACAAUUUAUCAAAUCUAUCUUUUUAGAUUUUAUAACAUCAUCAAACAAGUUUUAUAUAUAUACCACUAAUGAUAUAUCGAAUAAAAAGGAAUGUAUUAUCAAUUCAACUAGUUUGAUAAGAUUUAUAUUCUAAUCUACAUUUAACGUUAAUUUCGAGUUUAAUUUUUAAAUAAUUUAUACCUUCUAUCUCUUAUAGAAAGAAAAUAAAAAGAUUUGUAUUUAGCACACUAACACUAAAUUCAUUAAAAUACUAAAUAAUUAAAUUAAUAAAAAAAUUCAUGUUUUCUCUAAUUUUCUACUAUAAAGAAUUAAGAUGUUUGAGAAAUUUGCAUAAAAAGAUUCAAAGAAAAAAAGGGAAAACAAGACAUCCCAAAGCAAAAUGCUUUUUGAAAAAUGGUACUACUUGCACUACUAAAAUUAUUCCUAAGCAGGGACACUUAGUGGGCAGUUACCAAAAUUUUGAAACAAGUCAAACAACACAGUCCUCUAUGAACUUCUGAUUACCAAAUUCUUCCUUACAACUAGAACUUCUUACAAUUAUCACAAAACCGUGUGGGACAACCCUUUCUUAAUCCCAUCAACAACUAAUUAUAGGGUAAACUAUAUUAUUAGUCAUUAAAUUAUGGGUAAGUUUUCGUUUUGGUUAUUUAACUAUUUUAAAGUUUUCAUUUAAUUCACUAAGCUGUUAAAAAUGAUGCUAUAUGACUUUCUCUAUUUGCACUGUCUGCACCAAUUGAAAGCUCAAUUUUUCCUUCUCUUCUAUAGUUCAAUUAUUUUCUCAUGAAACAGCUUUUGACAUUACUAAUCUGUGAAUCAAAAUUCAUAUAGUUUUUUUUCUUCAAUCUUUGACAUUAAUCAUCAAAUCAACUUGGAUCUAAGAUAUGUUUUUCUACUCAUCGAUGGGUACUAAUCUAUUAUACCGAUCAUCAAAUUGUCGUUUGGAACUUGCAGGCAGAACUUAAAAAAAAAUUUAACAGCCCAGUUACUUAAAUAAAAACUUUUGAAUAGUUCAAUGACUUAAAUGAAAACUUUCGAAUAAUUUAGUAAUCAAAUUGUAACAUUUUUAAUUAAGUGAUGAAAAUAAAAAUUUACCUAUAAUUUAAUAACUAAUGAUAUAAUUUACCUUUAAUUGUAUAAUAUGCAAUGAAAAUUCUAUUUUAGGAAUGAAAAAAAUUAAAUUUUGUUGAAGAUUUAUGUCCCCUCUUAAUAAUAAUUGUAGUUAAAUUAUUUAUUUUUAUAAAAGAUGGGAUUGUCUAAAAUUCAAAUCAUAAAUUGUUAACUUAUAUUCAAUUUUAAAAUUAUUGAUUGUACGAACUAACUUAUUUAAGAUUAUAAACCUGAAUUCUUAUACUACACAUAUAUAUAGAUAAUGAAAUGGAACUUUAAUCUUUAGAUUAAUGGCCAAAUGUGUCCAUUAAAAAGAUAUCAACAAAAUAAAUAAUAAUAAUUGGAUUUUAAGUCUCCCUCGUGAACUUUAACACAUGAGUCAGCCUGCCCCAUACAUUGUUUUGGAUGCUAGUUUCACUUUUCACUGUAAAUCAAUUUGUGAAAGUAUAACCAAUAAUACAAUGUGUUGAAAAAACUUAUCAAGAAUUUAUUGAUGAAUGGAAAAAAUUAACAGUACAUUUAGUAAGAUUAGUCUAUCUUUAGUUAUAAAUUCAUUAGUUUUAUAGAUUAUCUACUAACUGACUAACAAACUAACUUAUAUUAACUGAGUCUAACUACUCAGCUAACUGUUUACUUUAUUCUCAACACUCCUCCUCAAGUUGAGGGGUGAUACAAAUCUUUAACCCCAACUUGGACACCAAAUAUUAAUGCUGCUUGAUUCCAAGAGCUUUAGUCAUCAAAUCUACAAGCUGUUCAGUUGUCCCAAUGUGCUGCAUUUGAAUCAAGCCUUCUCCAAUUUUAUCUCGUCAAAAUGACAAUCAAUUUCUAUAUGUUUGGUGUGUUCAUGAAAAACAGGGUUUGAUGCAAUCUGUAGUGCUGCCCAGCUAUCUGAAAAAAGUAAAGACUUGUCAAGCUGACUAAGAUAGACCUCUUUCAACAAGCCAUCUAACCAAAUAAUCUCUGCUACUACUAUUGCCAUGCUUCUAUAUUCAGCCUUUGCUGACGAUCGAGAAACAAUAGUUUGUUUUUUUUUUCCAUGAAACGAGAGAAUCUCCAAGCUUAACACAAAAACCAGUGACGGAUCGUCUGGACAUGGGACAUGAAGCCCAACCGGAAUUACAAAAUGUAAUAAGUUGUGGUUUACUAGAUGCAGCCAACAGGAUACCUUAACCAGGAUUUUUUUUAUAUAUCGAACCACUCGAAAAGCAGCCUCCAAAUGAGAUUUUUUCGGUUUGUGAAUGAAUUGGCUUAAGUGUUGGACUGCAAACAUUAUGUCUGGUCGUGUAUUGGUCAAGUAUAGCAACCUUUCCAGAAGUCAUUGAUAUACUGCAACAUCAGUAAUCAAUUCAUUGCCAUCAGCCCUCAUUUGUACAGAUUCAUCAUACUCAAUCGAAGUGAGUUUCUGAUUUUGUUUAAGAGACGUAGUCACUAGUUUCGCUUCUCCUAACCUCACAUCAGUUAUCAACUCCAACGCAUACUUCCUUCGAUUCAACACAAUUCCUUCACUUGAUCUCAUAACCUCUAUUCCAAGAAAAUACUUCAAUGCACCCAAGUCUUUCAUCUUAAAAUUUUGGUGCAGGACCUUUUUAAGCUCAUUUAUCAAACCAAUGUCACUUUCUGUGAUUAGAAAAUCAUCAACAUAAACAAGUAGGAUGAUUAUGUUACCCCAUUGUCUUUUGGAAAUCAAGGAAUAGUCAUAUUUGCUUUGUGUGUAACCUCCUUGCAACAAUGCAUCAAUAAGUUUUAAAUUCCAUUGUCGAGAAGCUUGUUUCAAACCAUACAAUGAUUUGAGCAGACGACACACCUUGUGCUCCCCCUGUGUGCGAAACCCAUCUGGAAUGUCCAUAUAAACCUUUUCACACAAAUCUCCUUGCAGGAAGGCAUUGUAAACAUCCAUUUGGAAAAGGGGCCAGUCAUGUAUGGCAGCCAUACUAACAACAGUCUGAACAGUGACAUGCUUAACCACAGGGGAAAAAUUCACCUGAAAAUCAAUACCAGCCUGCUGAUUGUACCCUUUCCCUACCACUGAGGCUUUAAACCUGUAAUGGCCCAAAUUUGAGGUUAUCGGAACAGUGGUUUCGGAACCACAAAUCCGAUGAGAAAAAUUUUAUUUUUCUUAUAUUUUUAUGGUCUACAAUUUCACAAAAUGAUUUUUUGAAAAUUUCGUUCGAAAAUUUCGACGUUUGGGCACUCAAUUUAGUCAAAAGGACUAAAUUGUAAAAAGUGCAAAAGUUGAGUUCUACAUGUUAGAGGUGUCCAAUUGUUAUGAAACUUUAAAUUGGAGGUCCUUAUAUGGUAAUUAUACCAUUGGUAACUUGGUAGACAAAAAUGGACAUGAGAUAAGUGAAAUAGAAAAUUUUUAAGUUAGGGGCAAUUUGGUAAUCUAGUAAUUAAAAUGAAUUAAAAGGGAAAAAGAUGGAAAAAAUCAUCAUCUUCUUCAUAUGAACGAAAUCAGCAAGGGGGGAAGCCAUAGUUAGGGUUUUCAAGCUUCCAAGCUCCAUAGUAAGUGAUCCCAAGCCCCGUUUUUAAUGUUCUUUACGUUUUUGAGAUCCCGGUAGCUUAAUUUAGCUUAUUCUAGCAAUAAUUUAACCUAGGGUUUAUAUUUGGAAAAAUACUCAUAGGAUAAAAGUGUUUAUUUUGAUGUUUUAUGAUAGAAUAUGAAGCUAGAAAUUAUGUUAAACAACUUUUGCUAAGCGAUUUUAAGUGAAAACGAGUAAACCGACAUAAUCGGUAAAAAUACCUAAUGUUCAUAAGUACAUGUUAGAGUGGGAAUUUGAUGUUGCCAUAGAAGGGAAAAAUGUUUAGAAUGUUAUAAAACAUAAGAAUAAGAGAUGAAGUUUAAUUUCCGAGCCUUGGGGCAAAAAUGUAAUUAUGUAAAAGUUUAGGGGCAAAAUUGUAAUUUUGAAAAAGUUAGAGUCGAGGGCUGUUUUGAUGAAUGUGAUUAUUAAAUAAGUUAAAUUUACUAUUUUAGAUCAAGAAGUACGAAACUCGAGGUUAGACAAAGGGAAGAAUAAAGUUGAAGACUAAGUUGGUGAAUUUGGCUAUAAUUGGUACCGAGGUAAGUUUACGGUAAAUAAAUGCAAUAUUUCAAUAUUUAUUAUUAAUGCUGUUAAUUUCCAGCAAUUAUGAAUUUAUUUUAUGAAUUUAUUUGAUGAUGAUCCAAGCAUGAAAUGAUAGAGAAUUAAAAUUUAAAAGUCCCGUUGAUACAUAAGGAUGGUACUGGAUACGAAUGUCAUGACAUUUGGGUAAAGAGAUCCCAUGUAAGACCAUGUCUGGGACAUGGCAUUGGCAUCCUUAAGAUCAUGAGAGGUCCCCUGUUAGACCAUGUCUGGGACAUGGCAUGGGCACCGAGACGAGAGGUCCCAUGUAAGACCAUGUCUGGGACAUGGCGUUGGCACCGAGAUGAGAGGUCCCCUAUAAGACCAUGUCUGGGACAUGGCAUGGGCACCAUCACGAGAACAUCCCAUGUAAGACCAUGUCUGGGACAUGGCUUUGGCAUGUUAUUAUCAGAAGAGACCCGAGUAUCCUUAUUAUUCCAAUGUAGCUCAACGGGCUUGUAAACGAAUCAUGUUCAUGAAAGUUCAGUUUAAAGCAUAAAUGGCAAGCUCAGGUAAGUUGUAAGACUUAAGAACUUAUUAUACUAUCAAUUGAUGUUCAACGAUGCAGCAAGGAUUGAGUAAGUUAUGCACACAAGUAUUCUAAUUAAACAAGUAAGAGAACUAGUAUGAGAUUAACUAAAGAGUAAACUAGAGAUAUAGACAUUGAGUUUAAUUAUUUAAGUUAAAUAUUGUUAUUUAUUUGCUAGUAAACUUACUAAGCUUUAUGCUUACUUCUUUUAUUUCUCUUUCUCUUAUAGUAUUGCAAAGCUACUUCAAGGAUCCUAAAGAAGUCGGAGAUCGUCCACACUAUCAACUACAACUGCUCGGUAUUUUAUAUCGAAACACGUUUGAGUUAUGGCAUGUAUAGGGAUUUAGUUAUUUUGUAUGUUUGUAAUGAUGAUUUUGCUAAUGAGUGAUGUGUAAGUAUUUGAUGAUGUAUGGUUAUUAAAAUGAUUAAGGAUGAAGGUGUUUGUUGUUAUGAAAGAUUAGGUGAUAAAUUAUGCAUGGAAAUCAUGAAAGGAUAAAAUUUUGCAAAGAAACAGAAUUCAGGCAGCACAGUGACGUGAAUUUGAAAAAUCACCCAAGAUAGUAUAAAAUGAAUUAGAGGGUGAAUGAUAUAUGGAAUUAAAGCUUGUUGAGUCUAUUUUCAUGGAAAAAUAACGGUGUAGAAAAAGGAAAUUUAUAUUUUAAGAUAUGUGAAUUUUAGUAAGAUAGGGUCAGAACUGUUUUUGGAGUCCCCUGUUCUGAGUUUAUAAAAUAAUUACAAAUUGUACAAAAAUGGUUAUGAGUUGAAAUUUACAUGCUUAGAUUUCUUAAUGAGUAUAUUUUCUGUAGAAACAAGUAAGAACUUCAUAUGAAAAUCCUACAGUGAGAAAACUUAUUUUUAGUGACUAGAGGUCAGGGCAGUCAGGUGGUGAAACAGGGGAGACUUUAACUAAUAAACUGUACUAAUUUGCUGAACCAAAAAUUAUAAAAAUUUUAUGGUGAGUAGAUAUAUGAGUCUAGUUUCAGGGAAAAUUUACGGAAUUAAAUUUCGAGUUCUGUAUCUCAAGUUAUAAUUAAUUUAGUAACUACUGCGCGAUUGGACAGAUUUGCUGCGAAUAAUGAAAUAAAUUUUCAAACCUAGUUUUUAUGCUCCGAAUUGGUAAGAUAAGCUAAGUAAUGCCUCGUGCUCGACUCCGGAAACGGUCUCGGGUAAGGGGUGUUACAUUUUAUUGGUAUCAGAGCAGGUUUAGUCGGUUCUCGGAAAUACUCAGUAAGAAUAAGAGUCUACCUAUACAUGUCAUACUUAUAUAUUUUGAUAGUGUGACGACUUCUGACGAUUUUAAAAUGUUUUCUUUUAUAGUUAUGGAUCCUGAACGAGCUAGUACAGAUGAAGUAGAGAGUAAUGCGCCUAUUCCCACAGAAGGGACGGUGCCAUCAGAUGUUAAUGUUAGUGAAAGACCUGCAUCAGAUAGACAGGGAGGAGGAGCUAGAGAAGCCUUCUUCCAAGCCAUGACUGAUUGGUUUGCCGAGUUCGUUCGUACGAAUCCGGCUGUAAGACCUCCACCCCCUCAAGAUUCACAGGUUCCCCAUGUAGCUUCCCCAGCUGCAGGUAUAUUUAUCAGGGAGAGACCACCUGUUGAUAAGAUUAGGAAGCAAGGGGCUGAAGAAUUUCGGGCUACCAAAGAUGACGAUGCAGAAAAAGCAGAAUUCUGGCUUGAGAAUACCAUCAGGGUUUUUGAAGAAUUAUCUUGUACACCGGAAGAAUGUAUGAAGUGUGUGGUCUCACUUCACAGAGAUUCCGCUUAUCAUUGGUGGAAGACUCUCGUGUCUAUUGUACCGAGUGAGAGGGUUACUUGGGAUUUCUUUCAGGAGGAGUUUCGAAAGAAGUACAUCAGCCAAAGAUUUACAGAGCAGAAAAGGAAGGAGUUUCUUGAGCUAAAACAAGGUAAGAUGUCCGUGACUGAAUAUGAACGCGAAUUUGUCAGACUUAGUAAGUAUGCUCGGGAAUUUGUAUCCACCGAAGCCAACAUGUGCAAGAGAUUUGAAGAUGGGCUUAAUGAUGACAUCCGACUAUCAGUGGGUGUAUUGGAAAUCAGAGAGUUUGUUGUUCUGGUAGAAAGAGCUUGUAAAAUAGAAGACUUGUUAAAAGAAAAAGAGAAGAGCAAAGCUGAAGCUGGAGCGCAGGAUACAAAGAAGAGGCAAAUGAGUAAAUCAUUUCAGUCUACAUCUAAGAGGCCUAGGGAGCUCUCUAGCGGAUCACAUUUUCCACAUAUAUAUUCUGGCCGAAGCAAAAGUAGAAGAUUCGAGGGUUUUAGAGCUCAAACCACUACAGUUGCAAGUACUGGCAGUACUCGACCUCCUAGACCGGAAUGUCCUCAAUGUGGGAGACGCCACCCCGGAGAGUGUAGAGCAGGUGAAAAUGUUUGUUUCAGAUGUGGAGCAUCCGAUCACUUUAUUCGGGAUUGUCCUGAAACAACUAAAAGAGAAGAAAUAACGAGUGCGAGAUCAGGUAAUGCUCCUACCAGAGGUAGACCGCAGAGAAACCCAGGAGUGGGGGCAAGUAAUAGGGGUGCAUUCAAAGAUUCAGCGGUUAGAUCAGAUGUUAGAGCACCUGCAAGAUCAUAUGCUAUUCGAGCUCGUGAAGAGGCAUCCUCUCCUGAUGUAAUUGCGGGUACAUUUUCUCUCUAUGAUACUACUGUUAUUGCAUUAAUUGAUCCUGGCUCUACACAUUCAUAUAUAUGCACAAAAUUAGCAUUUGUUAAAAAUUUGUCUGUUGAACCUACUGAAUUUAUGGUUAAAGUCUCGAACCCCCUGGGCCAGUUUGUGAUAGUGGAUAAAGUUUGUAAAAAUUGUCCACUGAUGGUAAAAGGUAUUUGUUUCCCGGUUGACUUGAUGUUAUUGCCUUUUGAUGAGUUUGAUGUGAUAUUAGGCAUGGAUUGGUUAACUCAGCAUGAUGCAGUAGUAAACUGUAGACAAAAAUAUGUUGUGUUGAAAUGCCAGAAUGGAGAAUUACUUUGGGUUAAAUCUAAUCAGACAAAGGGAUUAUCCGAUAUGAUUUCAGUUAUGACAGCUCAGAGGUGUGUUAGAAAAGGGUAUGAUGUUUAUUUGGCGUAUGUGUUGGAUACUAAGGUAUCUGAGUCAAAGAUACAGCCAGUGCCAGUUGUAUGUGAAUUUUCUGAUGUAUUUCCAGAGGAGUUACCAGGGUUGCCACCAGAAAGAGAAGUGGAAUUUUCUAUAGAUCUGAUUCCGGGAACUGCCCAAAUUUCCAUAGCUCCGUAUCGUAGGGCUCCUACAGAAUUAAAAGAGUUAAAGGCACAGUUACAGGAACUUGUUGACAGAGGUUUUGUUCGUCCGAGUCAUUCACCUUGGGGUGCUCCAGUUCUGUUUGUGAAAAAGAAAGACGGGUCUUUGAGAUUGUGUAUUGACUAUCGGCAGCUUAAUAAGGUAACUAUAAAGAAUAAGUACCCAUUGCCUCGAAUUGAUGACUUAUUUGAUCAACUGAAAGGUGCCAUAGUAUUUUUAAAGAUUGAUCUCCGAUCGGGUUAUUAUCAGUUACGGGUAAAAGAGCCAGAUGUGCCAAAGACAGCUUUCAGAACCAGGUAAGGGCAUUAUGAGUUUUUGGUUAUGCCGUUUGGGUUGACUAAUGCACCUGCAGUAUUCAUGGAUUUGAUGAACCGGAUAUUCAGACCGUAUCUAGAUAGGUUUGUAGUAGUUUUUAUUGAUGACAUUUUAGUUUAUUCUCGGGAUGAAACUGAGCAUGCAGAACAUUUGAAAAUAGUGUUGCAAAUUCUGCGUGAAAAGAAACUUUAUGCUAAAUUCAGUAAAUGUGAAUUUUGGCUUCGAGAGGUAGGUUUUCUCGGACAUAUUGUAUCCGCAGAAGGCAUCAGGGUAGAUCCGAGUAAAAUUUCAGCUAUUGUCAAUUGGAGUCCACCGAAGAAUGUAUCUAAAGUUAGAAGUUUCUUGGGUUUAGCUGGUUAUUAUCGGAGAUUUGUACAAGGGUUUUCUAUGAUAGCUUCUCCAAUGACCCGUUUAUUACAGAAAGAUGUUAAAUUUGAAUGGACAGAAAAAUGCCAGCAAAGUUUCGACCGAUUGAAGGAGUUGUUAACGAAAGCACCUGUGUUGGUACAGCCUGAAUCGGGUAAGGAAUUUAUUAUUUAUAGUGAUGCAUCAUUAAAUGGUUUGGGUUGUGUCUUGAUGCAAGAAGAUAAAGUAAUAGCCUAUGCUUCAAGACAACUUAAGCCACAUGAAAGAAACUACCCGGUACAUGAUCUCGAGUUAGCUGCUAUUGUAUUUGCAUUGAAAAUAUGGCGGCAUUAUUUGUAUGGUGAAAAGUGUCAUAUUUAUACUGAUCACAAAAGCUUGAAAUAUUUGAUGACACAGAAAGAUUUGAAUUUGAGACAACGCAGGUGGCUUGAAUUGAUAAAGGAUUAUGAUUUGGUUAUUGAUUACCAUCCGGGUAAGGCUAACGUGGUAGCUGAUGCUUUGAGCCGAAAAUCUCUAUUUGCUUUACGAGCUAUGAAUACCCGGUUGUCACUGUCUAAUGAUGGUUCAAUCAUAGCUGAAUUGAGAGCUAAAUCGACAUUUCGUCAACAAAUAUGUGAAGCUCAGAGGAAUGAUGAGAAAUUACAGGCUAAACGGGUGCAUUGUGAGUCAGGUAAUGAUUCAGAAUUUCAGAUUGGAACUGAUGGUUGUUUAUUAUUCAGAGGCAGAGUAUGUGUACCGAAGAAUUCAGAACUUGUACAGAAGAUUUUACACGAAGCACACAGUGGUAUUAUGUCCGUACAUCCGGGAGGUAAUAAAAUGUAUAAUGACUUGAAAAAGAUGUAUUGGUGGCCGAGUAUGAAAUGUGAUAUCUCUGAGUUUGUAUCAAGAUGUUUAGUAUGUCAGCAGGUUAAGGCUGAACAUCAGGUACCUUCGGGGUUGCUUCAGCCAAUCACUAUACCGGAAUGGAAAUGGGAAAGAAUCACUAUGGAUUUUGUAUCUGGGUUACCGUUAUCUCCGAGGAAGAAAGAUGCCAUUUGGGUAAUUGUCGAUCGAUUGACAAAGUUCGCGCACUUUAUCCCAGUAUGUAUGGAUUAUUCUUUAGAUAAAUUGGCUGGAUUGUAUAUAUCUGAGAUUGUUAGACUACAUGGAGUGUCUGUCUCCAUUAUAUCAGACAGAGAUCCCCGAUUUACGUCUCGUUUCUGGAACAAAUUGCAAGAAGCUUUGGGUACUCAGUUGUAUUUCAGUACUGCAUUUCAUCCUCAGACAGAUGGCCAAUCUGAGCGUGUAAUUCAGGUAUUGGAAGAUAUGCUCCGAUGUUGUGCAUUAGAGUUUCAAGGUAAUUGGGAAAGGUAUCUACCUUUGAUUGAAUUUGCUUAUAAUAACAGUAAUCAGUCCAGUAUUAAAAUGGCUCCGUAUGAAGCUUUGUAUGGUAGAAAAUGUAGAACACCAUUAUAUUGGACAGAGCUCAGUGAAAAGAAGAUACACGGGGUUGAUUUGAUCCGGGAAACAGAAGAAAAAGUAAGACUGAUUCGGGAUAGUUUAAAAGCAGCUUCCGAUCGUCAAAAGUCAUACGCCGAUCUUAAACGAAGGGAGAUUGAAUUUCAGGUGGGUGAUAAAGUAUUCUUAAAAGUGUCUCCUUGGAAGAAAGUUCUCCGGUUCGGUCGAAAGGGUAAAUUGAGUCCAAGAUUUAUCGGACCAUAUGAGAUUAUAGAAAGAAUUGGACCAGUUGCUUACCGAUUGGCUUUACCAUCGGAACUCGACAAAAUUCAUAAUGUAUUUCAUGUAUCUAUGCUACGACGGUAUCGAUCAGAUCCUUCACAUGUUAUUACUCCAACAGAAGUAGAAAUUCAGCCGGAUAUGACUUAUAAUGAAGAACCGGUUAAAGUAUUAGCAUGAGAAACAAAGGAGCUUAGAAACAAAAAGGUAAAUCUAGUGAAAGUGCUAUGGCAAAAGCACGGGAUUGAGAAAGCAACAUGGGAAUCGGAAGAGACAAUGAGGAAGCAAUACCCGAAUCUCUUUACUGGUAAGAUUUUCGAGGACGAAAAUCCUAAAAAGGGGGGGAGAGUUGUAAUGACCCAAAUUUGAGGUUAUCGGAACAGUGGUUUCGGAACUACAAAUCCGAUGAGAAAAAUUUUAUUUUUCUUAUAUUUUUAUGGUCUACAAUUUCACAAAAUGAUUUUUUGAAAAUUUCGUUCGAAAAUUUCGACGUUUGGGCACUCAAUUUAGUCAAAAGGACUAAAUUGUAAAAAGUGCAAAAGUUGAGUUCUACAUGUUAGAGGUGUCCAAUUGUUAUGAAACUUUAAAUUGGAGGUCCUUAUAUGGUAAUUAUACCAUUGGUAACUUGGUAGACAAAAAUGGACAUGAGAUAAGUGAAAUAGAAAAUUUUUAAGUUAGGGGCAAUUUGGUAAUCUAGUAAUUAAAAUGAAUUAAAAGGGAAAAAGAUGGCAAAAAUCAUCAUCUUCUUCAUAUGAACGAAAUCAGCAAGGGGGGAAGCCAUAGUUAGGGUUUUCAAGCUUCCAAGCUCCAUAGUAAGUGAUCCCAAGCCCCGUUUUUAAUGUUCUUUACGUUUUUGAGAUCCCGGUAGCUUAAUUUAGCUUAUUCUAGCAAUAAUUUAACCUAGGGUUUAUAUUUGGAAAAAUACUCAUAGGAGAAAAGUGUUUAUUUUGAUGUUUUAUGAUAGAAUAUGAAGCUAGAAAUUAUGUUAAACAACUUUUGCUAAGCGAUUUUAAGUGAAAACGAGUAAAACGACAUAAUCGGUAAAAAUACCUAAUGUUCAUAAGUACAUGUUAGAGUGGGAAUUUGAUGUUGCCAUAGAAGGGAAAAAUGUUCAGAAUGUUAUAAAACAUAAGAAUAAGAGAUGAAGUUUAAUUUCCGAGCCUUGGGGCAAAAAUGUAAUUAUGUAAAAGUUUAGGGGCAAAAUUGUAAUUUUGAAAAAGUUAGAGUCGAGGGCUGUUUUGAUGAAUGUGAUUAUUAAAUAAGUUAAAUUUACUAUUUUAGAUCAAGAAGUACGAAACUCGAGGUUAGACAAAGGGAAGAAUAAAGUUGAAGACUAAAUUGGUGAAUUUGGCUAUAAUUGGUACCGAGGUAAGUUUACGGUAAAUAAAUGCAAUAUUUCAAUAUUUAUUAUUAAUGCUGUUAAUUUCCAGCAAUUAUGAAUUUAUUUUAUGAAUUUAUUUGAUGAUGAUCCAAGCAUGAAAUGAUAGAGAAUUAAAAUUUAAAAGUCCCGUUGAUACAUAAGGAUGGUACUGGAUACGAAUGUCAUGACAUUUGGGUAAAGAGAUCCCAUGUAAGACCAUGUCUGGGACAUGGCAUUGGCAUCCUUAAGAUCAUGAGAGGUCCCCUGUUAGACCAUGUCUGGGACAUGGCAUGGGCACCGAGACGAGAGGUCCCAUGUAAGACCAUGUCUGGGACAUGGCGUUGGCACCGAGAUGAGAGGUCCCCUAUAAGACCAUGUCUGGGACAUGGCAUGGGCACCAUCACGAGAACAUCCCAUGUAAGACCAUGUCUGGGACAUGGCUUUGGCAUGUUAUUAUCAGAAGAGACCCGAGUAUCCUUAUUAUUCCAAUGUAGCUCAACGGGCUUGUAAACGAAUCAUGUUCAUGAAAGUUCAGUUUAAAGCAUAAAUGGCAAGCUCAGGUAAGUUGUAAGACUUAAGAACUUAUUAUACUAUCAAUUGAUGUUCAACGAUGCAGCAAGGAUUGAGUAAGUUAUGCACACAAGUAUUCUAAUUAAACAAGUAAGAGAACUAGUAUGAGAUUAACUAAAGAGUAAACUAGAGAUAUAGACAUUGAGUUUAAUUAUUUAAGUUAAAUAUUGUUAUUUAUUUGCUAGUAAACUUACUAAGCUUUAUGCUUACUUCUUUUAUUUCUCUUUCUCUUAUAGUAUUGCAAAGCUACUUCAAGGAUCCUAAAGAAGUCGGAGAUCGUCCACACUAUCAACUACAACUGCUCGGUAUUUUAUAUCGAAACACGUUUGAGUUAUGGCAUGUAUAGGGAUUUAGUUAUUUUGUAUGUUUGUAAUGAUGAUUUUGCUAAUGAGUGAUGUGUAAGUAUUUGAUGAUGUAUGGUUAUUAAAAUGAUUAAGGAUGAAGGUGUUUGUUGUUAUGAAAGAUUAGGUGAUAAAUUAUGCAUGGAAAUCAUGAAAGGAUAAAAUUUUGCAAAGAAACAGAAUUCAGGCAGCACAGUGACGUGAAUUUGAAAAAUCACCCAAGAUAGUAUAAAAUGAAUUAGAGGGUGAAUGAUAUAUGGAAUUAAAUCUUGUUGAGUCUAUUUUCAUGGAAAAAUAACGGUGUAGAAAAAGGAAAUUUAUAUUUUAAGAUAUGUGAAUUUUAGUAAGAUAGGGUCAGAACUGUUUUUGGAGUCCCCUGUUCUGAGUUUAGAAAAUAAUUAAAAAUUGUACAAAAAUGGUUAUGAGUUGAAAUUUACAUGCGUAGAUUUCUUAAUGAGUCUAUUUUCUGUAGAAACAAGUAAGAACUUCAUAUGAAAAUCCUACAGUGAGAAAACUUAUUUUUAGUGACUAGAGGUCAGGGCAGUCAGGUGGUGAAACAGGGGAUACUUUAACUAAUAAACUGUACUAAUUUGCUGAACCAAAAAUUAUAAAAAUUUUAUGGUGAGUAGAUAUAUGAGUCUAGUUUUAGGGAAAAUUUACGGAAUUAAAUUUCGAGUUCUGUAGCUCAAGUUAUAAUUAAUUUAGUAACUGCUGUGCGAUUGGACAGAUUUGCUGCGAAUAAUGAAAUAAAUUUUCAAACCUAGUUUUUAUGCCCCGAAUUGGUAAGAUAAGCUAAGUAAUGCCUCGUGCUCGACUCCGAAAACGGUCUCGGGUAAGGGGUGUUACAAAACCGUUCAACAGAGCCAUUAGAGUUAUACUUGAUCUUAUAGACCCAUUUGCACCCAAUAGGAAUAGCACCAGUAGGUAAAGAAACAACCUCUCACGUACCAUUGUCUUCCAAAGCUCAAAUUUCUUGUUGCAUAGCAUCGACCCAUCUUGGAUCCGAGAUGGCCUCAACAUAUAUUUGGGGUUCAGUUAAUGAAGAAAUAUGGGCUGCAAACAACUGAAUGUGAAUAGGUAAAUGCAACGAGGAAUAAACAUGAGAAAUAGGAUAUGAACCUGUAAUAAGGGAAGCGGAAGAUUGGUUGGAACAUACGUAAUUUCUCAUCCUGGCAGGUGGCUUGACAGACCGUGUGGUGCGUUGUAAGGGGUUUAACGGGAGAGAAAUUGGUUCAGUAUCAGUUGGUAAGGUUUGGGAAAAAGAAGGUGCUAGCAAAAUAGGUGAUGGGGAAAGAAUAGGAAUGGAAGAUAAAUGCUCUAGAUUAAGAAAAGUAGAGCUAUCAGUUAUAGGAAAAAAGAGAAAAAUAUUUUGUAGAAAAAGUAAAAUGAAUCACGGUAUCAUGAAAUACAACAUCACGAUUAAAAAAGAAAUUUUUGGUUUCAAGAUUGAAUAACAAAUAACCUUUCUGAACAGUAGAAUAUCCUAUAAACACAGAAGGAAUAGCCUUAGGAGAAAAUUUUAUUAUGAUAAUUGGGUGUAGUAGCAUAACAAAGACAUCCAAACACUUUUAAACAAGAAAGAUCAGGAGGUUUACGAUAUAAAAAAGUUCAAAAGGACUUUUCCAAUGCAAGAGAGGAGUAGGUAGUCAAUUUUUCAAAAAACAUGCAGUUAAUACACACUCACCCCAAAAUUUACUAGGCAUAUGAGACUGAAAUUUGAGAGACCUAGCAACGUCAAACAAAUGUCUAUGUUUACGCUUAGCAACUCUAUUUUGCUGAGGAGUGUGAACACACGAGCUUUGAUGUACAACGCCUAACAUAGUAAAAAAUUUGUUGCACUCAGUCUUAAAAAAUUCAUACCCAUUAUCACUACGAACAAAUUUGAUGCUAGUGGAAAUUUGAUUCUUAACCAAGGCAAAGAACUGCUUGAGAUAUACAAAAGCAUCACUUUUAUAUCGUAACAAAUACACCCAUGUCAUUCUUGAAUAAUAAUCAACAAUGGAUAAAAAAUACCUAUGGCCACUAUGAGUAUAAACUCGAUAGGGCCCCCACAAAUCUAUAUGAUUAAGAGAAAAAAUAGUAUCGACACGAGAUGUACUUAUAAGAAAUGGAAGUUUAGUUUGUUUAGCAAGAGGACACACAAAACAUUGUUGUAUGCUAUCAUUAUUCGAAAAUGUGCAGGGAAGAUUAAGUACCUUAUUCAAUCUUGAAACAGAAGCAUGACCAAGUCUAUGCCAAAGAAAUGAUGGUUCAACGGAUGUAAUAGAUGCAACAGACGGAGUGACAAUCACACUAAUCUGUCGAAAAGGUUCUAGGAUGUAAAGACCACCUAGCUCCUUACCAUUCCGCCUCAUCUUUCCACUUGAGAGAUCUUGUAUGAGGCAAAAAUGAGGAUAAAACGAAACAACAUAAUUGAUAUCAUUAAUAAGUUUAGAAAUGGAAAGAAUGUUAUAAUGGAAAUUUGGAAUAUAGAGAACUUUGGUAAGCUGAAGAUCAGGUUGAAUAGUACAUGUGCCAACAUGAGUAAUUGAAACAGAAGAGCCAUUUGAGAGUCGAACAUAGGGUGAAUGCGAUGCACAUGAAAUAGGAGAUUCUAAUAAUUGAAAAUCAGAAAGCAUGUGGUCAGUAGCUCCAGUAUCUAUAAUCCAAUCUUGACCUACAUCAACCAUACUUGUUAGGUUUGCAACAGCUUCAACUACAGCUUCCUUGUUCAACAAACUCAAGAGUUGUUGAUACUGUGCCUGAGUAAACACAGAUGCUUGUUGGCUAGACAUGCCAACAUCAUUAGUCAAUUCACUGCCACUAGCAGGAACAUUAACUGAAAUAUUGUUCAGUACGGAUCCAGAAACAUUGGUUGCCUUCUUCUUAAUGAACUUAAAAUCUGCAGUGUAACCAAUUAUCCUAUAGCAACUUUCCCUUUUAUGCCCUUUAAUCUUGCAAUGAUCAUAUGUUACAGUAAAACAUUUCUUUUGUACCAUAUGUGCUGAGUGAAAAGAGACUGGAUCAAACCCAACAACACUAGAGCUAUGUUGCCUCUGUGAUUCCUCUUGCACGAGCAUAGAGUACGCUUGAUUGACAGAUGGCAAUGGUUUCAUUAACAAAAUUUGACUAUGCACCGCAUUAUAUGUUUCAUUCAAUCCUAUUAGAAAUUGGAAUAGACGUUGUUGUAAAACAUGCUCAACAUUCUGUCUUGACUGAACACAUCCACAUGAAGAAAAUGGCACAAGAGCAUCAUAUUCAUCCCAGGACAGUCGCAACUUAGUGAAAUACACAGAGAUAGAAGCAGUAUCUUGAAGAUGCGAGGUGAUUUCACGAUGCAAAAAAUAAAUUCUAGAACCAUCAACUUUGUGGAACCGUUCACCAAGAUCGUUCCACACCGCUGCUGCGCUAAAUGCAAAAACAUUCCCUUCCGAGAGCUCUCUGCUAACUAUAUUCAAAAUCCAAGACAAGACAAUGGCAUUACACCACUUCCAUUGAUAGCCCAUCUUAUUUGGUAAUGAAUCAUUAGAACAAGUACCGUCUACAAACCCUAAUUUGUUUUUGGCCAACAACGUGAUUUUCAUGGUCCGGCUCCAAACUUUAUAAUUCUCAACUCUAAGCAACUGGUGAGACACCAACAAGGUACCUGAAGUAUCAGAUGGAUGCAGGUAAAGGGGAUUAUUAAAAUCAAUAACCGAUUCAGAAGGAGUCACCAUGAUUCAAAAAAACUCCAAUGUUGAAAACAAAAAACGUCGACGAGCAAGGACAAGAAUAAACACGACAAAUAAAAAGAACCCUAGAUUAACAACCAGACUUUGCUCAACAAUCGUAUUUGGGCCAGUAGAAACCAACAGAAAAUGGGCUUGUUUAUCAACCAACCUAUAGAACCCAAAACAAAAUAAGACCAACCAGCAAUACUGAGCAAACUGGAAUAACCGAAAGUAGUACUGAACAAUCGUGAACAACUGAAAAGACAACGAUCACCAGAGCUUUGAUAUCAUGUUGAAAAAACUAAUCAAGAAUUUAUUGAUGAAUGGAAAAAACUAACAGUACAUUUAAUAAGAAAAACUAUUAGUCUAUCUUUAAUUAUAAACUCAUUAGUUUUAUAGAUUAUCUGCUAAUUGACUAACAAACUAACUUAUACUAAUUGAGUUUAACUACCCAGCUAACUGUCUACUUUCUUCUCAACAAUAUGAAUAUAUUUUCAUAUCCAAAUCCAUUUCCACUUCUAAAGUCAAAACUAACGUUAUAUAAAGAAAACACAUUUGAAAAUACUUUGUAAUAUAAUUGUAAGUUUAGAUUAGAAGUGUAUAUGGGUAAAGUUGGAUUCACGCCGGGCCAUAUAAAAUUUGAGAUCUGUUUGUUAGGUUCGAGUCCGGUCCAGUUUGAAAAAUUGGCCUAAAUUUUGUUUAAGUUUAUUUUUCGGGCCUAUAUUUUUACUCAAGUUCUCUUACAUUUUGAUCAGAUUUUCACGUCGGGCCAUGGAUAGUCUAUUUUAAAUAUAGCACACAAAUAAAAAUAUGUAACCAUGAAAUUAAGCAAAAUGGUUAAAAGCAUAUUCUAUAAAAUAUAUAACCACAUAAAGAGAAAAAAGGAACAUAUUUCUAAAUUCAAAGGUAAUGAGAAACUAAGAAUAUAAAAUAGCAAUGUUAAAGGAAUGUUAGGAAUAAAGAAUAUGUUAGUUGUUAGGCAGUUGUUAUUCUGUUAUUCUGUUAAUAACCACUGCUAGCUGAUAUAUUACUGCUAACGUACUGCCUAUAAAUAUCCUUGUAUAUUUUCUUGUUGAUGAAUGGAAAUGAGUUUACACUCAACAUGGUAUCAAGAGCCAUAGUGUUUCUGGUAUAAAAUUUUUUUCUCUUCUACGUUGUUUGUAUGCAUGGCUACAGAUGGUAAUCCUGCAGAUGGUAUGCCGCAUCAUUCCAGCAACUAUGGUGCAGAAAUUCAUCCGUCAGAUUCUGGAGGUUCAAGUUUAACUUCUGUUCAGUACUUUGCCAAGCAUGACACCAUUAAACUCAGCGGUCAAAACUUCUUGCUAUGGAAACAUCAAUUGUUAUUGAUCCUCGAAGGGUAUGGCCUGGAAGGGUUUGUGCUAGGCACCACGAUCCUUCCAUCUGCGCUAAUUUCGGAUUCUGAUGGUCAGCUUGUUGCAAAUACAGCGUUCAUUGUUCAUCACAAACAAGAUAAGUUCUUGGCAUCAUGGCUUUUAUCCACAGUUUCUGAUGAUAUUUUGAUACACUUAACCAAAGCUAAAACCAGUUUUGAUAUUUGGGCUACCAUUGAAAGACGAUUUGGUGCUAAGUCCAACAUCAAGUUAUCUAGUAUGAGGCAUACCUUAUAUUCGAUCAAGAAAGCCAGUCUUUCAGUCAAAGACUAUCUUUCCAAAGUCAAGACUCUAAGUGAUGAUCUAACUACUGCUGGGAUUCCAGUCUCUGAACAAGAACAGAUCAGUGUUAUCCUGGCCGGCCUUCCCGUUGAGUUUGAGUUUAUUCGGGUUCUUACUACUGCUACUUCCUUGAAUCUUGAUCUUGUCACUGAAAUGCUACUCGAUUGCGAAGAACGUCAGUUAAGUCAGUUAUCUGAUGCAUCACUACAAGCAAAUCUGGUAUCCAGUAAGCAACAAAGUAAUUCUGAAACUUUGAAACCAAGUUCAGAUUCCAAUCGUGACACCAAUCGUGGACAAAGGGGUCCAGGCCGUGGGAGGUCUCGUGGUCGUGCUCGUGGUUCGGGUCGAGGGUGGUCUCGGUCUAAACCACAAUGCCAGUUGUGUGGUAAAAUAGGACAUUUGGUGCAAACGUGUUACCAUCGGUUUGAUGAGAACUUUGCUGGUUCUGAUUCAAGUUCGGUGAUGGCUGUUAACUAUCAUCAAUUUCAUAGUGAUCCUACAAACUGUUGUUCCUCUCAGAGUUGUUGUCAUGCAUGCCCCGUCUCCUCACCAUCUUCAGUACCUGAUCAGAUGUGGUACCCAGAUUCUGGCGCAACCAACCAUAUUACUCCAAAUGUAAAUGGUCUUCAGAAUGCUUCGACUUAUACAGGUACCAACAAAGUGUCCAUGGGCAAUGGUGAGUUAGUAUCCAUUGCUAAUACUGGUUCUUCAACUUUUGUAGCUGGUUCUCGAUUGUUGCAUCUAAAGAACGUACUGCAUGUUCCGUCUGUCUGUAAAAAUUUACUUUCUGUAGGACAAUUUGCAAGAGAUAAUGCAGUCUACUUUGAGUUUCAUCCUUUUCUAUGCUUUGUGAAGGACAUACAGACAGGAAUGAUCUUACUGGAGGGCCACAUGCAUAAUGGCUUGUAUAGAUUUGAUGUUUCUCCUUCCAGUUCACAACGUCUCCUCUCUACCAAAAGAAUCGAGUCUCCUAGUGUCUGCAAUGUUCAGAUGGCCUCAUCUGUUGAAGUCUGGCAUGACAGGCUUGGACAUCCAUGUCCCAGCACUCUUGCACGUGUUCUAAAGUCUUGCGAUGUUCCAUUCAAGCACGACAAGCUACAUUCUGCCUGUACACCUUGUCAGAUGGGUAAGGCUCACAAACUGCCGUUUAGCACCUCUCGAACAGUUUAUUCAGCUCCGUUUGAGUUAGUAGUUUCGGAUGUUUGGGGACCUUCCCAUGUUACUUCGAAUGGUUGUGCUUACUAUGUGUCCUUUAUAGAUAUGUACAGUAGAUUUACUUGGUUGUACUUUCUCAAAUCAAAGAAUGAAGUUUUCCACUGUUUUCUUAAUUUUCAUAAAAUGGUUCAAGUACAGUUUGGGGCAACCAUCAAAAUGUUGCAGACAGAUGGAGGGGGUGAGUAUCGAUCAUUGACCAACACUCUGACUACUCUGGGAAUUCAACAUCGGGUAAUAUGCCCGCACACGUCAGAACAGAACGGAGUAGCUGAACGCAGGCACCGUCACAUAGCUGAUAUGGGACUAGCGUUGCUAGCUCGUGCUUCAAUGCCGUUAGAAUAUUGGUUGUCUGCCUUCUCGCAUGCAGUCCAUCUUAUCAACAGGUUACCAACACCUGUCUUGGAGCACAAAACUCCCUAUGAAAGAUUGUUUAAAGCUAGACCAGACUACUCUCAGCUGAAGGUUUUCGGGAGCACUUGUUUUCCAUACCUCCGACCUUUUCAGCAACAUAAGCUCCAGUUUCGGUCACAACAGUGCGUAUUUCUUGGAUUAAGUUCUAACCAGAAGGGGUACAGAUG